GUGUCAGCCGCCGCGGUAAGACAGAGGGUGCUAGCGUUGUUCGGAAUCAUUGGGCGUAAAGCGCGCGUAGGCGGCGAAAUGUGUCGGAUGUGAAAUACCUCGGCUCAACCGAGGAAGUGCAUCCGAAACUAUUUUGCUUGAGUGCCGGAGAGGGUGGUGGAAUUCCCAGUGUAGAGGUGAAAUUCGUAGAUAUUGGGAGGAACAUCCGUGGCGAAGGCGACCACCUGGACGGACACUGACGCUGAGGUGCGAAAGCGUGGGGAGCAAACAGGAUUAGAAACCCCAGUAGUCC
rnacentral:rRNA from 1 species